rnacentral:rRNA from 1 species
GGAAUCCUACGGGACGCAGCAGUGGGGAAUAUUGGGCAAUGGGCGCAAGCCUGACCCAGCAACGCCGCGUGAAGGAAGAAGGCUCUCGGGUUGUAAACUUCUUUUAUCAGGGACGAAGCAAGUGACGGUACCUGAUGAAUAAGCCACGGCUAACUACGUGCCAGCAGCCGCGGCAAUACGUAGGUGGCAAGCGUUAUCCGGAUUUACUGGGUGUAAAGGGCGUGUAGGCGGGAAAGCAAGUCAGAUGGGAAAACCAUGGGCUCAACCUGGGGCCUGCAUUCGAAACUGUUUUUCUUGAGUACUGG